rnacentral:lncRNA from 1 species
AUAUACAACUCCAAGAGAUUGGUAAGCCAACAACAAGGUCUGCAUGGGUGGAUAUUCCUGAGAAAAAUACUCAAAAUCUCAAUAUCCUAUGAAGUGACUUAGAAGUUUCAAGGCAGUAACAAAAAAAAGUGUGAAGUUAUCAGAUUUUAUCGAAACUGGUAGUAGCACUAGCACACAUCGAGGGUAAAAUGAGAACAGGUUGCUUGUGAUGAUUUCAUCAUGUCCUAUGUCAACCUCCAGAUGCACCGGUCUGCAGGAACCAUGAUGACUUAAGGUGUUCAAAAGGAAGAGGUAGUUAUAACUUAAUCACAUGAAGGAAGUUAUCCCGAAAGACCUACACUCUCUUGAAAUCUAUGCAAACCUAGCAAAAGAUCGGGCACAAUGAAAGAAAAGGAUCUAUGUGGAUGAUACCAGUUAGUUGGUUUAAGCUUUAAUUAUGCUAAUAUGUUUACUUUCGAUCCCAAUGUUUGUUGGGAGUUUUUAGGUCUUGUUUGAGAUUUCAUGCGUGGGAAAUGCAGACAGCUUCUAGUGCUACAAAAACUAAUUCUUUAUUAUAUUUGAACUUAGACAAAGCUUAAUUGAGUGACAUGGACAAUGAGAAUUCAUAUAGCCGAGGAUUCACAUAGACGGUCUUAAAUAGAGGGACAGUGGAUAUUUCUUGGAAUAUUGAAGAUGAGAAAAAGUAAAGCUUACCUUAGCUUUGGUUAAGGGAGACUGGUAUGUCUGCAUAACUGUCAUGUAUGUUUCCAUAGCAGGUACUGGUUCUGGAACAACUCUCCUGCUGUUGUUACAAAGGUCAAUACGGUUACUAUCUUCAAGAUUGCUUCUACUUUCAAUAUCAUAGUUCUUUAUGCUGGAAUUGUUGCUUUUAACAUCUUCCAUGUUUUAAAUGCAGGACACUUCCAAUAUUCUAGUUAAGAAGUUGCCGUACAUUGUGUCAUGCUUAUAUAGCUUCAAAAAAGCCUCAAGGACUAUCGAUUUGCAAACAGGGAUAUCGAUUUGGUUGAUCCUAAGAAUAAAACAAAAGAUAUAAGUUAGUGCUGCAAAUUCUAAAAGCCACAAGUUGCUGGAGAGGGAGCAGGUAAAGGAACACAUCAUCAUAUAUAUAUUUUAGCAGUAAUUCCACCAAUUUGCAUACAAAUUUAUUUCAUCAUCCUGUUGGAGCACUUAUCGAUUCGCAAACAGGGAUAUGAAGAUAAAUUAUUGGUACAUUUUCUUGUUGACAUAUUAUAUUUUAUACCAAGGAGUGACUACACACUCUCACAAGUGACAUAUAACCAGAAAUUUUUAAAAAUCUGCCACUGUUGCUUUGUUGGAUGAACCUUAUCUAGUCUAGUCUAGUCUAGUUAAAUAAAUCAAGCUUAAAUUUUUGCAGUAAGUUGAUGACAAGUGAAAACUAGUAAAUCCUCUGAUUAAAAAGGUAAGCUUGAUUAAUGAACAAAAGCUCAUAUGCAAUUUUGCUGGCUUAUGAUUCUUUUGAUUAUGAAUUUUUUGUUUUAUUAUAGGUAUAUAUAUCAGUGUUGACACAUCUUGACCUAAGCUGGUCCAAUGUAAUGGUUAAGGUGUUGCACAACUUUCUUAAACUCGUGUGUUCAGUCCUAGCUAGCGACAUCAUUAUAUUUGCCUUUUUUUUACAUCUUUAAUAAAAAUCUUAACUCCGCCGCUAUCCGUCCACAUAUGUACAUGGAGGACGUAGGUAUUGCCGAAAGUGUUAAGUGAGAAGGAUGUAAGUUGUUCUAAAAGGGCUAACUGACAUACAAAUAUGUUAACUACUUUGGAAUCACACUUCUUAUUAAAUUUAGUCAAAGACGUAGACCUAUCUGUCCAAAAUACUCUUAUGAGGUAUUUAACUUUAAAUUUUAUUGGCUUUACAUGUGAGUAAAUCAAUUUGAUUGCGAUUUGGUCACUAUUAUAUUGUUCUUAUCUUUUCUCUAUCGUAUAUUCUAUUCAUAUUUACCUCUAAAUGAUUAAACGUGCAUUGGUGGAUCAAACUGUCAAAUAAUAAUAACACACCAAGUAUAAUUUUAGAAAGUGAGGUAGGGAGAGGAUAAGUGUAUGUGAAUCUUACUUCUACUUCAGGGUGGAGAGAUUCUUUCUAAUAGAUUCUCGACUCAAGAAAAAAAAUAAUUCAAAGCAAUCUAGAAAGGAAGUAACAAAAGUACAAGAAAUAUCAUAUAGUAACAAAAACAACAAAUAGUUAUAACAACUCUUUUUGAGGGUUUUUCAAUUGAAGUGAUGAUACUGAGAAGAUAUUAUUUUUACUUAUUUAGAGUUGUCACUUGGAAUUGAGUUAUGAUGUUCCAAGUCACUUUUUUGGAUCUCUAAUCAAAAGAAAAUACUCUUUUAUUUUUUGUUUAGCGAAAAGAAAAGACUAGAUAAGAAAUUUUAUUGACCGAGGGGAAGGUAUGAGG